AGUCGUCGAAGGUGGAAUCAAUAACUGGGGUGAAGUCGUAACAAGGUAGCCGUAUCGGAAGGUGCGGCUGGAUCACCUCCUUU
rnacentral:rRNA from 1 species